rnacentral:rRNA from 1 species
GUGCACCAGUCGCGAAACUCUGCAAUGCGCGAGAGCGCGACAGGUUACCCGAGUGUCGUCCGCGUGAGGACGACUUUCCCAGUGUAGAUAGCUGGGGGAAUAAGGAGAGGGCAAGUCUGGUGUCAGCCGCCGCGGUAAUACCGAGCUCUCCGAGUGGUGGGACGCUUACUUGGGCCUAAAGCAUCCGUAGCCGGUCUAACAAGUCCCUUGUUAAAUCCAGCGAUUCAAUCGCUGGACUGCAAGGGAUACUGUUAG